UCAGGACUCCAGCUGGUUUCAGGAUAUCUAUACUGCAGUGUUGUCUCUGGACACCCUCACACACUAGAAUGUUUUCUCUCCUGUUCUUUGCUGUGCUCUGCGCCAGCUGCCUGUCUGCUCCCAGUGAGCACUACUCCUUCUCCCCUCCUGUUGGACCCGGGAGUGGCACUUCCUUCUCCACAGCAGGAGACGGAGGGAUCAGGGGGGUUAGGGUCUGGGAGUCGAUCAACUCUUACAUCACAGGUCUCCAGGUGCGCAAUGGCUUCUCCUGGUCCAACGUUUUUGGUCGCACACUUGGAGAUGCACAGGAGCUGGAACUAUAUGAUGAUGAGUACAUUAUUCAGAUCUCUGGCAAAUACAACACCGCCUAUAUCUAUCAGCUGAUCUUUGUGACCAGUACAGGGAGAUCUCUGAUAGUUGGCCAGCCCACACAUACCUCUUUCAACUUCUACCCGAUCCACUAUGGUUGCGAGCUAAAAAUACUGAGUGGUCGCUAUACCACCUCAGGGAUCAAGUCUUUGGGAGCUCACUGGGGAAGUCGGAUGAUAUCGACCAACACUUCAGUCCACGACUACUGACUACUAACAACAGUCUUAAGCAGAGAAUAAUCAACCUAUCUUUUUCCAUUAAGAAAGUAUUUAGUCUGAAGGAGAGAUUGCAGUGAUUUAUUGCACUUUAUCAAUACCUCAUGUAUUUUGAGGAAUGCUAAUUGUAAGGAUAUUAAGAGAUUAUAUAUGUGGUUUUAUUUCUGCAUAUUCAAAUGGUUGGAGAAAUGUUCAGUCUGACCAGUAUUUAAUUCUGUUGCACGCAAUAUGCUGUUGUAUUUUAUGAAAGGUAUGAUUUUUUUUUCCUUUUGUGACUUUGUGGCUGUUAUGCAAAAUUAAUAAAACAACUAAAUCAAAGCAACUUGAUUUUAUGUAAUGAUAAUGAAGAACAACUUUUGUGCAGUAUCGUCCACAACUUCCUGCUUUUUCAUGUGUGUGACACUGCAGUAACCUCAAACAUACAAUGGCAAACAUAGGAAAAUUUUAUUUUUUGUCAUUGCACAAUUUAACUCAGAUUCCACUGUUUUGAGAGCGCCUUGUCUUAAUGAGCUCAUAUUUUGUUUAGUUACAGAGUCCAUAAAAAUGCGUUGAGAGCAAAAGUUUUUCCCUCUGCCUCAGUGUCUUCCUGCUAAACAUAAGUCACGCA